AUGGAGUUCUUGCUUGGCUGGAUUUUCCUUAUUGCCCUUUUAAAAGGUGUCCAGUGUGAGGUACAGCUGGUGGAGACUGGGGGAGACCUGGUGAAGCCUGGGGGGUCCCUGAGACUCUCCUGUGCAGCCUCUGGAUUCACCUUCAGUAGCUACUGGAUGAGCUGGGUCCGCCAGGCUCCAGGGAAGGGGCUACAGUGGGUUGGAGAAAUUAAAGAUGAUGGAAGUAGCACAUACUAUGCAGACUCUGUGAAGGGUCGAUUCACCAUCUCCAGAGACAAUGGCAAGAGCACGCUUUAUCUGCAGAUGAACAGCCUGAGACUUGAGGACACGGCUGUAUAUUACUGUGCAAGAGACACAGUGAGGGGACAUCACAGUGAGCCCAGACACAAACCUCACUAG